CGCCCACGCCCUGUACCCCAUCUUCAUGGCCACGCUCUCCGUCUGCCUGUUUGAGUGGGACCCUGAAGAUGUGGCCCUUCUGCGCCACGCCAAGAGGGAGGAGCUCCGGAGGGAGGGUGUGCCCGGCAUCUCCGAGGCUCUGGUGGACAGCCGGUUGACCAAGGCCCAGUUGGCGCUGUACUGCAGGCGGAGGACCCGUGGAGAGGAGGCCACCAUCCGCCAGGUGGAGGCCCUGCUGCAGGAGCUGAUGGGGGACAAAGGCAGGGACCUGCUGGGUGUUCCCCUCCUGGACCGGGUGAGGAUGGAGCACAUCUGGCGGGUUCAGAAGAGGCACGUCAAGUGCAUCCAGGACCUGCCAGGUGUGCCUCUGUACACAAAGACCGGCACCACCACCACCAAGGACGGCGUCGUCCUCACCAAAUACAGGUGUGCGCGAGGUUCAACGUCACUGGAGUCCUUCCACUGCCACCUGAACCGCUUUAUUCCAGGGACCCAGGCCAAUGACCUGAACUUCCAGCUCUACUUGCUGGACGGGCUGAACCGGUGGAACCAGGACCGGGCUGCUGCUGCUGUGGCUGAGAAGAUGUCCGCUCUCCUCAGCUACUCAGGGGAUCUGGUACACUGUGUGAACACAUUUGGCACCAAUGUGUUUGGACAGAUGUUUGUCCCCUCUUUCCGCCUCCCCAGCAAGUACACUGGAGAGUUGAUAGGCAUUGACUACCUCUACAUGCAGACGGGGG
ensembl:lncRNA